ensembl:lncRNA
AUGACUCAAUGAAUGAAAAAAUUGAUAAACAUGGCAAGUACCGACAGAAACUACAAUUUUUCAGAGCCAAUGAGAUUAGAUAAUGAGAUGAAAUGUUAAUCAAACAUUCUAGUACAUAAUCAACUCCAUUUACACAUCAUUUUGCUUCUAAAAAAACCACAUUGUUGCUUUUUCUAUACUGUUGCUACAUCUUUUAUAUCCACCAAAUAGCUUUUGAAUAAAUAUUUGUGUGGCUUCAAAUUGAUAAGCCCUCUGGAAAGAAGAAUAUGGAAUAUAAAAAUGAUCUGUGUCUCCUUUAAAUAUUCUAACUUAAGAGCCAGUUUUUUUUAUUGUGUGUAAUAUGGUCCAUGAGGAAAUAACACAUGUUUUUAAAACUAUCCUAAUUAUGUAAAAAGAACUUUAUGCCUAAAUCCAUGCGAUCUAUUACCAGGACCACUUAAUGAGAGCAAGUAUGGUCAUAGACAAGAGCCUCCUUUUGAUCAGAGAAACAUCAAUUUGUUUUCUUAAUAAAUCUAAGUAAAUGGAGGGAAAAACAGCUCUUAUAUGUUCCCAGGUAGUUCUUCUGAAGUUCUAAUGAAUGAUUUAGAAACCAAGGAGGAUUAAAUAAGUCUAUGAACCUAUAGAGGCCUAGCAUUGAUUUUAACAAAGUAAAACUUAUUAAUUUUGCAAAGUCAUACGCUUUAUAACAACAGUUUUCUUUAAAGAUAGGGCCACUAAUUCAAAUGCCUUCAGAGGGCAGUGGAAUGCAUAUAUGCACAACUUAAAGGCAUUCAAAUUAAUAAAAUUCUAAUGCCAAAACCUAUCUAAGGACAGAUUUAACUUGCAGCCUUCAGUUUCAGAUCCCCAAAGGCAGAGAUUUAACAUAUGUACUGUGUUAUUCCUUUGGAAUCUGGUUUAAAGUGAGAAAUACAUGUUUUGGGGGUUCCCCCCUCAAGAGCAUUAUUUCUUGGAAAGGUAAAAAAAAGAAGCCAGUGAUAAUCUCAUAAAGCAUGUAGUACUUAAAGCACUUUAUGAUAAAUUCAUUUGGUAUUCACAUUAAUAGCAGUGAUAAUAAUGAAUGUACAUAUCAUUGACGUGAAUGAGAUAAACACAUCCAAAGGAAAUUUCAUUGUAAUUUGAUAUUAGGUAAAUGUCCCAUUAAAAUAAAUCAAUACUGUACAUAACUUUCCUUUAGUUCACUGGCAGAAUGGUUGCUUUGGAAAAGGAACAGUCUAAUUCUAGUUUUAGGAGGAAAUCUCAUUAUUUUUUUAUAGCAAUCAUUAUCAGGAACAGAUGUGGAAUUGUACCAAUGAACACAUCUACUAUUACACCACACAGGGAAAAGAGUACUAGUUAAAUCUAACAAGACCACCCCCCCCUCCUGCCUCAGUUCCUAUAACAAACUGACAAAAGCAUGCACGUGGUUUUAGCAUUACUAUUAUGGGACACAGUAAAUGUUUACUGAAAUGCAAAACAAAUGAGACCAGGAGAAAUAACAGGCUGCAAAAGUGCAUUUUGUUUUUGAUCAUUUGUGACGGCUGCUCCUCUUUGAUUUGAUUUAGUUGGAAAAUCACAAAUAAAAGAUCUGUAGGUCCUUAGAUAAAAGUUGAAUCUGAAGUACAGUUCAAAUUUAGAGACAUUGUAUAGUCAAAAAAAGAAAAAAAACUCUUUCAGUAUUAUUUAAUCCCCAGCUCUCAAGUAUAAUACAGACAUGAAUGCUACAAAUGAAUGACACUAAAUAGAAAUAUUUUAUAGAUACCUGUACAAAGGAGAGGCACUUAGCUCUCUCUGGGCUCUUAAAGGGCCUAACAGAAGAGAAAAUAUUUAAGCUGAGUAUUAGAGAUGAGUAAUGAGUUAAGCCUGCAAAACUUACAACAGUCAAGGAAGUAGAGGGCCAUUCUGUUUAGAGUUGUAGUUAAGGUUGAAAGUGGGGAGCAGCAGUGAGCAGGCUGCAAAUGCAGAGGGAAAAGGAGGCCAUAGAGGCUCUUCAGACUUGGCCAAGGAGGCUAGUAUUUGGACUUGUAGUAAUUCUGUAGGCAUCAUUCUUGACCUCCUCAUUCUUGGCUCCAGACCUUGGUUCUUGCCUUCUACAACUUCCAUUCUUUACUAAAAAAUUGCCAUUUCUCAAAGCCAUUUUUCACAUUUUUUCAUUCCUUCCUAUUUUUAUGGACUAUUUUUUAUUUCACUCUUGCCUCUCUCUACCUCUUUUUUUUUCCCUUUUUUCUCCACAUCUACAGCCUAUGGAAGUUCCCAGGUCAGGGUUCAAAUCCAAGCUGUAGCUGUGACCUACACCACAGCUGCAGCAAUGCCAAAUCCUUUACUCUGUGCCACAGCAGGGACUCCUUUCUCUUUCUCUUUUAAACUGCAUUUCCCACAUUUUAGCCAUCUUUCAGUCUUUGCCACUAUCCUCAUGAGAUGCUCUCACAGGGUCAUCAAGUUUUCCAUGAGAGUGGAAUCACCCAGCCUCUGAAUGGGCUAAGUUGAAUGUGUCCUCUUGCUGGGCCUGAUAUUUUCCUUAAGUUUUGUCCAUUUGUGUUACUUCCUUAUAAAAAGUCACCAUCUAAUAAAAGUUGAAAGAUAUUUUCCAAGCAUGUUAAAACCUCUGAAGAUGGUUAUAUAGUCUAAGAAUUAACAUAUGAAGCAAACUUGUUCAAUUUCUCUUUGAGAAAAGAACCAAACUCUUAUUCGAAUUCUAGGGACUUGACAACGAGGAACAAUGGCAAUGGAUAGACAGACAGGACAGACAGGGUAAAGUGGUAGGGAGAAGAUAAUACACCAUAUUUCUUAUGAAAUUGCAUCAUACAUUUCUACACAACAGUUUCACAAGUCUCUGGAAGGUUUAUAUUCUUAUAUGUUUUCACUUGACUGUUGAGUAAACUGAGGCAGUGAUUAGCCUGUGUCAAAAUAAAGCAUGAAAAAAUUACAAGUAAAUCGCAUGAUUGGAUGUUUGAAAUAUCUUCUUGUUCAUUGAAGCUUUGCUUUUCUCCUUUCUGUUUCCCUCAGUCUUUAUCUUUUCUCCCAAUCACUUUUUAUCUCUUCUGUUUUGCUAUUCUGCCUAGUUUGUGAUACUUUGCCAAUUCUCCUACAUAGAUUAUCCAAUUUAUCAUUGUACAAUUUCCUGUAACUGCUUCCUAGCUUAUUCUUUUUCUUCAUUUGUCACAUUUUAUCUUCCAUUUAUUGUGUUUUCAUACAGUUUUGGAAAGUUUUGCAAAUAUACUUUUUUAAAUUUAUGCAAUACUUUUUUAUCACAUGUACUCAUUUAUUUGUCUCAUAUUUUUCCCUCUAUAAAAAUGUAGCUGUUCUUUCUUUUCCUAUAAUUCCUCUUUGCUUCCCUCAGUUUGACCGGACUUUGAAAAUUUAGAUAUGUGUGUCAUUUUCUAUAAUUUAGGAACAUUUCUCCAUUUGAAAAGCAUGCAAGAAGUAAAUAAUAAUGCAGUAACUUGAAAACAUGCCCCUCCUGCUUCCUUGCCUGCUCCACAUAUUUCUUGCCUACUCUUUCUUUAAUAGUAUAUCUACUUUGUACACCUUUGUCCCCUUACACCCAGAGAUUCUGAUUUAGUUGGCUUAUAGUGAAGUUCUGGUAUUUUUAUAUUUUCAAAAAGCUCACUAGGGGUGUUUGAUAAGCAGUAUUUAUUAAGAAGGAUGCUUUAAUUUUAGAAUCAAACACAAUAAGCUAUCUAACUAUGAUGAAUAAUCCAAUAAAUUUAAUUGUGAUUUUUUUCUGUCCAAAACUAAGAUUAGAUGUUAAUUGCCAGAGAAAUAGAUAAGGAUGCCUCUGACAACAGAACAUUAAUAUAUCAAAGCUUGACAAUUUCACUGGUAGUGAAUAAUUUAGUACUUAAAAUAUUUAGAAGCUAUGGAAUUAAAAUUAAUUUAUUUUUCACUAGGUGAAUAAUAACAUUGAUUGAGGUUUUACAUUUAAUUUUGUAAAUAAAAUUUUAUCUUCUUCAGGCGCAGAAGCUAACUGUAAAACACUAUGUACAACUUUUUUACUUCCUGUUUUGAUCCAUUAUUGUACUGUCUUUUGCUUUAUUAUUGAAAACUCUCCUCAAGUAGAUCAUACACUGCAAAUACUUGUCCUGAUUACAAAAUCCUCUCACACAAAUGCCAUAGACUGUUUAAUAAGCUCUUCUUUUACAAAAUUAAAAAAUCUGCAGGGCCUGAUUUGGGACUAUAUAUAAAUAAGAUUUAGAUCUAACAAUUUUAAAUUACUGCUUCAUUCUUAGCUACUCGAUUCUCUUAUCUGGGAAAUAGAAAUAAUAAAACCCUUGUUGAUUCUACAGUUGGUUUGUAAAAGUCACUGUAGCCAUCAGCCAUGCAGUAGAAGGACCAAGAUCAAAAAUACAAAGCAAGGGGGCUGAGAUGAAAAUUCUGAAGCAACUUCAGUUUAUAGCAUUAUAAACUGGCGACAAGAAUUCUUUGAAUACUUAAGAAAAUUUCACAAGGCAUUUACUCUAUCAUCUUAUUAGAAAUGUGCUGUUCCCAGACGAACAGUAUCAGCAUCCCCUUGACGCUUGUAAAAGGAGAGAAUUGGGGGCCCUCCACAGACCUACUGAAUCAGAAUCAGACAUUUAACAGGAUCUCUAGGAAAUUAUUGUGCACACUAAAGUUUGAGAGGUGUUGCUAUAGCACACAUCUGAGAGUUGCUUCAUGCAUUUUUAAAAUUUCCAGGAGUUCCUGUCAUGGCUCAGAGGAAACGAAUCUGACUAGUAACUAUGAGGACAUAUGUUCAAUUCCUGGUCUCUUUCAGUGGGUUAAGGAUCCCGCAUUGUCAUGAGGUCUAGGUCGCAGACACGGCUCAGAUUGCACAUUGCUGUGGCUGUGGUGUAGGCCAGUGACUACAGCUCCAAUUCGACUCCUAGCCAGGGAACCUCCAUAUGCCAGGGGUGCAGCCCUAAAAAGACAAAAAAAAUGUAUUUCUAACAUUUGUGGGUAUUAGAUACCACUGAGGGUACAAAUUGGAAUCAUAAUCUUUAUCCUCUGACUGCUUCCCUGACUUUUGUGUUUUAGGCAAAGAUUUCCCCAUAGUCAUUCAUCAUUGCAUGAUCCAGCUAGUUCCCAAACUCUGUUGAUUUUGCCUUAAUAGUUCAUAUAACCUCUAGCCUUUCUUUUCUGGUGCUUUGUCACAGCUCAUGUUUUAGCUCCAAUACUUAUUUCCUAGAUGCCUGUCUUAGAUGUUUGACCUGUGUCGUUGCCUUAACAUUAGCCUAAACUUUGCCUCAGAAUUAUCUAGGAACACAGCUCCAGCUCUGACACUCUUGUACUUAAGUCAUUUUCCAUUGCCCUCCACUGAAUUGCAAACUCCUUAAUAGAAAGCAAAGUCCCUUCAGCCCAAGGCCAAUAUACACACAGGGCUACCCCUCUCCCUGAUUUUCCACUCUUACAUAGUGACAUAGAACUCAAUUGUGUACUCCUGAUCAGAUCACAAAAAUUGCAUGCCAUAGGCCUUUCCUUCUGCCAUCUUCUUGCCCUCCUGACCUUCCAUAUCCCUAAGGCCUAGCUAUUCUUUAUUCAUAAUAUAAAAUAUGUUUUUUUUUUCAAAGAAGAUACUGGUGGCUGUUGACUCUAAGGGAUUAUUCUUAAAACCAGUCAUCAAUUUUUUUUUCUUCCCUGUCCCCACAUUUCCUCUUUGGUAAACAUAAGUUUGUUUUCAAAGUCUAUAAGUCUGUUUCUGUUCUGCACAUCAAUUCAUUUGUAUGCUUUUUUUUAUUCCAGAUAUAAGUGAUAUCAUAUGAUGUUUGUCUUUCUCUGAUGUACUUCACCUAGUAUAAUAUAGUAUGAUGAAUCUCUAGGUUCAUCCAUGUUGAUACCAAUGGUAUUUCAUUCUUUUUUAUGACUGGGUAAUGUUCCAUUGUAUGUAUGUAACACAUCUUUUUUAUCCAUUGCUCUGUCAGCAGACAUUUAGGUUGUUUCCACAUCUUGACUGUAGUAAAUAGUAAAUAGUAAAUAGUAAAUAGUAAAUAGUGCUGAAAUGAACAUUGUGGUGCAGGUAUCAUUUUUUUUAAGUUUUUUUUUUAAGUAUAGUUGAUUUACAAUGUUGUGCCAAUUUCUUCUCUACAGCAAAGUGACCCAGUCCUUUUCUUAUAGUAUCUUCUCAAAUUAAGGUUUUCUCUAGAUAGAUGCCCAGGAGUGGGAUUGCUGGAUCAUGUAGUAGUUCUAUGUUUAGUUUUUUGAAGAACAUCCGUACUGUUUUCAAUAGUGGUUGUAAUAAUUUACAUUCCCACCAACAGUGUAGGAGAGUUCCCUUUUUAGAGAAUGUUCUAAUUUUAUUCUUUUACAUGUAACUGUCCAGUUUUCCCAGCACAAUUUAUUUUACACAGUCUUUUCCCAGCACAAUUUAUUGAAGACACAGUCUUUUCUCCAUUGUAUAGUUCUUGCCUACUUUGUCAUACAUUAAUUGACCAUAUGGUGUGUGGGUUUAUUUCUGGGCUUUCUAUCUUGUUCAGUUGAUCUAUGUAUCUGUUUUUGUGUCAGUACUAUACUGUUUUGAUUAUUAUACCUUUGUAGUAUAAUUAGUCAGAGAGAAUGAUUCCUUCAGAUCUGACCCAGUCUCAGAAGUCAUCCUUGGAUUGAUUUAUCGGGCAAGCAUGUUAUGGAGUUUUCUAUGUACUUGGUAUUGGGACAGGGGAGUAUAAGAAUAUUAGAUAAAUAGAAUUACACGUAUCAGGAAAGUGUUCUGCAUACAGACUUUAUCCCAUCUGUACCUAAGUAUUUGUGAGUCCUUAAGAUUGAAAUAUGGUAAGUAUCAGAAGUCCCCUUGUGGUGGGUUAAGUAUCUGGCAUUGCCACAACUGUGGUACAGGCCACAGCUAUGGCUCAGGUUUGAUCCCUGGCCCAGGAACUUCCACAUGCUUCAGGUAUGGCCAAAAAAAAAAAAAAAAAAAA